rnacentral:tRNA from 2 species
UGGGUUGUGGCUCAGUGGCAGAGUGCUUGCCUAGCACAUGUGAGGCACUGAGUUCAAUCCUCAGCACCACAA